GUCUCUCUUUUGGUCUCGAAGUCGAGGUUCUCACCGUCGUCCUAUCAUGGUCAUGCUACCGCCAUGGAUUCACAGUCGUGUUCUGUUAGUCGAUUGAGUACCGGCGUACCCUAAUUGAACGCAAAACCGGUGUCUUAUUGAAUUCUCUCUACUGCCGUCAGAGAAAUUUGGAUACGUUACAGCAAGUCGGUUGAAUUCACGCCAUCAUUAACAACAACUUUCAACUUUCCCAUUACUUCCAUUGCGUGAAUCUUCAAGUAUAAAUACGUAACUCUUUCAUCAGUUCAAUCCAAUCCUCUCGGAAGCAUGCUAUCUAGAUCAGCUCUAUAUCCACAAAGAAGCCGCACAGCUUACUUCGUAGUCACCAACUCCCACCUACUCAGCCACCCACAGUUUGAUUUCUCUUCAGCUCUGCGGUUAAAUUUACCAAAUGUUAUAUGACAAGCGGAUAGCACGGUUUCUCAGCUUGAAGCUAUUUCAGAGCAACUUGCUUCAGCAAAGCAUAUGGGGGUUCUUCAGGUGUCUCUACCUGCAAAUGUCCAAACUGAAAUCGAGCAGAUUGGAGAGAUACUGAGUUCUUCUAUAGCUGCCAUCACUAAUAGCUCCAAUGACAUAAGAGACAUUCUCAAUUCCGUAAGGGUGGCGCUUAUCACAGUUUCAAUCCUUAUGCUUAUCUCUUUACAAUUCUUGGUCUCGGUAAGUCACAAAUCUGCAUCUUUUGUAUUGUUUUACAGUUUUGAAAGAUGAGCUUCUCUAUAUCUCCUGCAAUCUUCCACUACAUGUUUCUCAACUGUAUGUAUAACUCAUGAUCUUAUCAUCUACUCUUGCAAUUUCUUCAAUUUUUCGGAUACAUCUCAUUGUCUACACGAACAAUGACCCUGGAAUGUUCUUUGUGUACUUUUAUAAGUAAGAACUAUUUGAAUCUUUUCCUCUUCCGCAGCCGUAUGAUUCUUGGAUGGAUUUUGGUGACUGAUGAUUCUGGUACAUUCAUCUGGUAAAUUUUAAUGUGUUUGUUUGAGCUUUAGUGAAACUGCAGGCAGAUGUAUAGCAAUGAGUGCAUCAGUAGAAAGGCCCGUAAGCAACAUGCCUCUAGACGAGAUCUUACCUUGCACAGACAAUGUUAUAGCUGAGAAAAUAACUGAAGUGCUUAUAAAUUUGGAGACAUGACCAUGCAUCCUCUGCACACUUGACCUGCAAGCAAGCCGUUUAAAAUAUGUUAACAAAGCACUUCUUCUCUAAUUCAAAUUGUGCUUACAAAAAAAUUCACCAGUAUUAUAUACAGUAAAUCAGUUUAGUGGGAUACAAAUAAAAUUCCACCAGUUUCAGAUU